UCGUCAGAUGGGUUAUGCAAGGCGUCCAUACCAUGCGCUGCAAAGAGGAUGUGCUUGUGCGCGCGUGCAGUGUACUCACGUGCCGUAGUUGAUGCUGACCCAGGCGCCCGAGCAGCCGCUCAACAGGUUCUCGCACACGAUGCUCACGCAGUAGGUGGCGCUGGAGCUGAUGCCGUAUGCCAACGAGGGGUUGGAGGACUUGCUUGUCGAGCCGAGUGUGCUGCCACUGCAGGACGUGCCAGACCGGACCUUGAUGGAGAGGUUGUCAUUUGUGGAUGACCGGGCCGAGACGUCCAGUGCCUUGGCGCCGUUCACAUCGCAUCUGUGCGUGCGCGGCGGGCACAGCAGUGGCGCAUGUGCGAGUCGGUGCGGUGGCGCGCGGUUUCAGUUGACAUGCAUGUCGCAUGCGCAUGUUGAGGACGAGUUUGUGACUUUGAAGGAGUGUCAUGCUGUCACCUUUGUGCUUAGUAACGUUUCUUAGUAACCCCUGAAUCCAUGCGUGGCAGCAGGUGACACUCACGUGAAGUCGCGCUGGCCAAAGUAGUUGAUGAUGGGGACGAAGUAGUUGUCGUAGAUGCAGCCGCCCCGGUCGCCGGGGGGCGGUGGGGGCGGCAAGCGCGGAGGCGGCGGAGGCGGCGGAGACCGCGGCCUGCAUGUAUGAAAUACAUGGUGUCGAGUGCGCCGCAAGCAAGGGUAAGGUACAUGCACGAUGAGGAGAUACCGCAACAUUAAUGGGGAUGUUACCUAAUGAAGAGAAUUCCGUUCUUGCUCAAGUUGUGUUGGCUUACAGGCAGGGGAUAGCUGAUUAGCUGGCAUCAGGUUUCUAGCUAGGCAGCCCGGAUAAGCAAGGCUAGUAGGCCGCCAGCAAGUACACCAGCGAAUCAGCCCUACGUUAGACCCAUAAGGUUUGGCUAGAAGGCGCAAGAGCUAUGGAGAUAGGCAGCAGGCAGCAGAGCAUGUGUGGAGUAAGCGAGUGUGUUAGUGUGUGCGCUACUCACGUGCCGUAGUUGAUGCUGACCCAGGCGCCCGAGCAGCCGCUCAACAGGUUCUCGCACACGAUGCUCACGCAGUAGGUGGCGCUGGAGCUGAUGCCGUAUGCCAACGAGGGGUUGGAGGACUUGCUUGUCGAGCCGAGUGUGCUGCCACUGCAGGACGUGCCAGACCGGACCUUGAUGGAGAGGUUGUCAUUUGU
rnacentral:lncRNA from 1 species